rnacentral:rRNA from 1 species
GAUGAACGCUGACAGAAUGCUUAACACAUGCAAGUCCACUUGAACUUCGGUUUGGGUGGCGGACGGGUGAGUAACGCGUAAAGAACUUGCCUCACAGAUAGGGACAACAUUUGGAAACGAAUGCUAAUACCUGAUAUUAUGAUUUUAGGGCAUCCUAGGAUUAUGAAAGCUAUAUGCGCUGUGAGAGAGCUUUGCGUCCCAUUAGCUAGUUGGAGAGGUAACGGCUCACCAAGGCGAUGAUGGGUAGCCGGCCUGAGAGGGUGAUCGGCCACAAGGGGACUGAGACACGGCCCUUACGCCUACGGGAGGCAGCAGUGGGGAAUAUUGGACAAUGGACCAAGAGUCUGAUCCAGCAAUUCUGUGUGCACGAUGAAGUUUUUCGGAAUGUAAAGUGCUUUCAGUUGGGAAGAAAAAAAUGACGGUACCAACAGAAGAAGUGACGGCUAAAUACGUG